ACCGCGGGCAUCCACCCCGCCACCUCACCUGCCGCCGCGUCGACCGGGACGGCCGCCGCAGGCAUCCACUCUCCUACCGCCGCAGGCAUCCACUCUCCUACCGCCGCGUCGAGCACGACCUAGGGACGGCCGCCGCCCCCGCCAUCCUCACCAGGCCGCUGCCUCGCACGACGCUCCUUGCUAGCAUCUCAGCAGAUUGGUCGGAGAUCCGCGUUGAUGAGCUGAACUGGUCAAAGCCGGACGUGCGAGUGCUGCUUGUAGGUGCCAUCUUGAUCUCGGAACUCAGCAUCGUGGAUUGCGCUUCUUGGUACCUCAAGAUUUCGUAGUCAUGAACUACAAUCAAGUAUACAAGACUGUGUACCAGAACACGUCACGUCAAGGACAGUGUACUGUUUCAGUUAAGAAGGAGAAAUACAUAGACACCAACAAAAAUGAAACAGAUUUACACGAGGCCAUUUACAAAGUCGGGCCACUUGAAGUGAAGUGUCUAGUUAAGGAGGAUUGUCAAUCUGACCCAGCGCCUUUCCAGUCGUAUUGCAUUCUUCAGGACUUUAGGCAUCUGAAUAUAGUUUCGAUUGAAAACUACUAUUUUGAUGAAUGUGGCGAAGGACGAAUGGUUUUGUCCUGGUUGGACCAGACCCUUAGAGGUUGGUUGGUGAAAGUGGCAGAUGAAAAGCACAGGUUGAAAGCAUUUGAAUCGACAUGCAUGAGUUGCAAACCGUCAACCAUUUUCAGAAAAAUGGUGAUUGGUAUGUGCGAUGCAGUGCAAUGCAUGCUGAAAAACAACGUAUACCCUUGUUCCAUCCUCUUGGACGAUAUUUACUUGGUGAAUCAUGCAUCACCAACUGUUAAAAUCCUUGUUUCUGAUGUGAUGCAAAUUUAUCGUAACUCUGAGAGAAUCUCUCAUGAAAGGUUGAUUUGGAAAGAUGUGAGAGAAGUGGUGGAGAAAUGUGUUACAAUUGCUGCGAAAAGAGCUAUACACCCCGACGCGAAGAGAUUUUUCCAGUAUAUAGGCUUUGCAAGUGUGAAGAAGUUAGAGUCCUACCCCGACACAUGGAAUGAUCAAGAUAAAAUUCAAUACCUGUUGCAUGUUAUGUCUGGGAAAAAAAUUAUGUGAGCUCCAAAGUUAAUGGCAUUAGAAAUUUUAAUUGGCCGAAGGAAAACUCAGGUCAUUUGCCUCGUUUAUUUCGUGACCUGAAGGAUCAUCAAGAAAAAGAAACCAAGUCAACAUACAACACUAAUGAUCCUUACGACUAUCUGAGAUUGUGUCGGAAUGGCAUUAAACAUUGGGAUUUGUUACCAAGUCAUAUAACGAUCAUUUGUGGUGAUGUUUCUGGUUUCCUCCGAUAUAUAGAACGGUGGAAUCCCGGAAUUUGGUGUGAUCUAUAUGAGGCACUUGAGGCCUAAACAAAUCUCAUAUGGAAAGCACCUAAGCAACCUGAAGAGAAGUGAUGCAGACUUUUCACAUAUAUAUUCCUGGCAAAAGCAGUUCAACUAUGUUUUUCAUGUGCCAAACAUCAUGUAUUCAGGAACUGUGGAUCCAUGUUUUGCAAGGGAGCUGGGGACGGCAUGGCCUACCUGUGACGUUUUGCUUUUUUUCAAUUCAGAAGAUUCAGAUUGACUCUUGUGUUGCUCAUGUUGCACGUGUCAUCAAUCUUCUUCUUUGAUCUAGCUCUGGAUCAAAGAAGAAGAUUGAUGACACGUGCAACAUGAGCUACACAAGAGUCAAUCUGAAUCUUCUGAAUUGAAAAAAAAAAGCAAAACGACAGGCGAGACGUAAGGUUGGCUUGAUGUAAGGUUGAAAGCGACAGGCUGAAGCAGAGACCCCCUUUAUCUUA